rnacentral:rRNA from 1 species
CCUACGGGUGGCAGCAGUGAGGAAUAUUGGUCAAUGGGCGUAAGCCUGAACCAGCCAAGUCGCGUGAGGGAUGAAGGUUCUAUGGAUCGUAAACCUCUUUUAUAAGGGAGUAAAGUGUGGGACGUGUCCUGGUUUGUAUGUACCUGAUGAAUAAGGAUCGGCUAACUCCGGGCCAGCAGCCGCGGUAAGACGGAGGAGCCGAGCGUUGUCCGGAUUUAUUGGGUUGAAAGGGUGCGUAGGCGGCUUGUUAAGUCAGCGGUGAAAGUCUGUGGCUCAACCAUAGAAUGGCCGUUGAAACUGCGAGGCUUGAGUAUGUUUGAGGCAGGCGGAAUGCGUGGUGUAGCGGUGAAAUGCUUAGAUAUCACGCAGAACCCUGAUUGCGAAGGCAGCCUGCCAAGCCAUGACUGACGCUGAUGCACGAAAGCGUGGGGAUCAAACAGGAUUAGAUACCCUAGUAGUC